GUAGGUGGCAGCGUUGUCCGGAAUUAUUGGGCGUAAAGCGCGCGCAGGCGGUUCUUUAAGUCUGAUGUGAAAGCCCACGGCUCAACCGUGGAGGGUCAUUGGAAACUGGAGAACUUGAGUACAGAAGAGGAAAGCGGAAUUCCACGUGUAGCGGUGAAAUGCGUAGAGAUGUGGAGGAACACCAGUGGCGAAGGCGGCUUUCUGGUCUGUAACUGACGCUGAGGCGCGAAAGCGUGGGGAGCAAACAGGGAUUAGAUACCCUGGUAGUCCACGCCGUAAACGAUGAGUGCUAAGUGUUAGGGGGUUUCCGCCCCCUUAGUGCUGCAGCUAACGCAUUAAGCACUCCGCCUGGGGAGUACGGCCGCAAGGCUG
rnacentral:rRNA from 1 species